rnacentral:rRNA from 1 species
AUUGAACGCUGGCGGCAGGCCUAACACAUGCAAGUCGAACGCGUGGCGGACGGGUGAGUAAUGUCUGGGAAACUGCCUGAUGGAGGGGGAUAACUACUGGAAACGGUAGCUAAUCCCGCAUACCAUCGGAUGUGCCCAGAUGGGAUUAGCUAGUAGGUGGGGUAACGGCUCACCUAGGCGACGAUCCCUAGCUGGUCUGAGAGGAUGACCAGCCACACGGGAACUGAGACACGGUCCAGACUCCUACGGGAGGCAGCAGUGGGGAAUAUUGCACAAUGGGCGCAAGCCGGAUGCAGCCAGGCCGCGUGUAUGAAGAAGGACGUCGGGUUGUAAAGCACUUUCAGCGGGGAGGCGUUACCCGCAGAAGAAGCACCGGCUAACUCCGUGCCAGCCGCCGCGGUAAUAC